rnacentral:rRNA from 1 species
UACGGGGGGGGGCAAGCGUUGUUCGGAAUUACUGGGCGUAAAGGGCGCGUAGGCGGUGCGGUAAGUCACCUGUGAAAUCUCCUGGCUCAACUGGGAGCUUGCAGGCGAAACUGCCGUGCUGGAGUGUGGGAGAGGUGCGUGGAAUUCCUGGUGUAGCGGUGAAAUGCGUAGAUAUCAGGAGGAACACCUGUGGCGAAAGCGGCGCACUGGACCACAACUGACGCUGAGGCGCGAAAGCCAGGGGGAGCAAACGGG